GUGUUACACUCACCCUAUUCCCUAUUACGAUAAAUUGAGGCUUAAAUAAUCGAUAAUCUUGUAUUUUAUGAAAACUAAAAAAAAUCUAAAAAUAAUUACAAGUUACUAAUGGAAUCGAAACUGGUCAGUUCAUAUUUGUCCUGAUUCACUAUUUAUUGUUCUGUACUACUUGAAUUACUUUCUGUUAUAUUAUGCGUACUAAAUUAAUGGUUUUGAUUGUUUUCU
rnacentral:lncRNA from 1 species